CCUACGGGGGGCAGCAGUGGGGGAUAUUGCACAAUGGGGGGAACCCUGAUGCAGCGACGCCACGUGGGUGAAGGAGCGUUUCGGCGCGUAAAGCCCUAUCGGCAGGGAAGAAGAUGACGGUACCUGACCAAGAAGCCCCGGCUAACUACGUGCCAGCAGCCGCGGUCAUACGUAGGGGGCAAGCGUUAUCCGGAUUUAAUGGGUGGAAAGGGGGCGCAGACGGCAAUGCAAGCCAGGUGUGAAAGCCCGGGGGCCAACCCCGGGACUGCUCUUGGAACUGCAUGGCUGGAGUACAGGAGGGGCAGGCGGAAUGCCUGGUGUAGCGGUGAAAUGCGUAGAUAUUAGGCAGAACACCGGUGGCGAAGGCAGCCUGCUGG
rnacentral:rRNA from 1 species